rnacentral:lncRNA from 1 species
GGUUUAGUCCCAGGGAGCUCUGGGGUUAUUGGUUAGUUCAUAUUGUUCUUGUUCCUCCUAGGAGGAUGCAAACCCCUUCAUCCAAGAAGAGCUUUUUCAAUAGACAGAUACUUCUACGUGACAACAUACCCUACCUAUGAUUUAAAAGCUGAGAACAAGCCCAAGAUAACACACAAAAAAAAGCUGCCUCAUGGUACAAGGAACUGAAUUCUCUCAACAACCAUAUAAACUCAAACAUCC